rnacentral:rRNA from 1 species
AUUGAACGCUGGCGGCAGGCUUAACACAUGCAAGUCGAGCGGGGAAGGGUAGCUUGCUACCUGACCUAGCGGCGGACGGGUGAGUAAUGCUUAGGAAUCUGCCUAUUAGUGGGGGACAACAUUCCGAAAGGAAUGCUAAUACCGCAUACGCCCUACGGGGGAAAGCAGGGGAUCUUCGGACCUUGCGCUAAUAGAUGAGCCUAAGUCAGAUUAGCUAGUUGGUGGGGUAAAGGCCUACCAAGGCGACGAUCUGUAGCGGGUCUGAGAGGAUGAUCCGCCACACUGGGACUGAGACACGGCCCAGACUCCUACGGGAGGCAGCAGUGGGGAAUAUUGGACAAUGGGCGAAAGCCUGAUCCAGCCAUGCCGCGUGUGUGAAGAAGGCCUUUUGGUUGUAAAGCACUUUAAGCGAGGAGGAGGCUACUUAGAUUAAUACUCUAGGAUAGUGGACGUUACUCGCAGAAUAAGCACCGGCUAACUCUGUGCCAGCCGCCGCAGUAAUAC